rnacentral:rRNA from 1 species
UUGAAAGGGAAACGAUUGAAGUCAGUCGUACUUGCGGGUAAUCAGCCUUUUGGGUGUGAUUCUGUGGAGCGUGGGGAGUUAAACGCCUUCAUGCCUGCGUAUUCGUGCACUUUGGGUGUACUUGCCCGUGUGGUAGGUUAACAUCAAUUUUGAUCAUCAUAAAAUGGCUGGAGGAAUGUAGCUUCGACCUCGUAUUGAAGUGUUAUAGCCUUCGGCAGAUGUGAUGAUCGGGAUUGAGGAUUGCAACGGAUACCCUUCGGGGCUACCUGUCUGAUCUCUGAUUGUUGCUCUGGUGCCGAAAGCGUGCUUACGGUUAUCAAAGUCGAUGGUCAACAGGUUAGAACGGGUUAAAUUCGUUAAGGAUGUUGACGUA